rnacentral:lncRNA from 1 species
GUCAGGCAGCCACAUUCCUUUCUGUAUGAGGAUAAUAUUUUAUAGUCAGCCAGAUCAGAGUUCUUCUCCUCUUUUUGGUCUUCUCUUUUCCUUCUUGGUUAGAGACUGUGUUAGAGACUACUCCUAAUUAGAAACGUGUAUGUUUCAGUAGAAACCAUGCCAGAUGUGUGGUGCAGUUCAGUGGAAUGUUAGAGAGCAACUGGUGGUGGCACUUUCAAUUGGGAUUGUAAACGUGACAGAUGGGGGCCGAGGCAACAAGAGCCUGGAAGCAUGAGCCAGUGAUUCUCAGCUCCAAGAAAUGCAGAUGUCCCUUAGUGGGGCAUUUCUUGGUGUGAGGAGACAUUCGCAAACACUCAAGGCACUGUGGGACUUGUGUUACAGCCCUUUCAGGUUGCCAGCCAUGAAGUAUUCCUUACCAGUCUCCCACUGCUGAGUCUUCGUUCAUCUGUCCACCUCCAGGUGAAUCUUUGUUUUUCUAUAAAUAAAUUUAUCUGGUUUACCUUUUCUUUUGUAAAUCUGCCUUACAUUGGCUAGACCUCAAUGAGGUCAGACUUCUUGAAAAUGGAGGCAGUCUCAGC